AGCAGCCGCGGUAAUUCCAACUCCAAUAGCGUAUAUUAAAGUUGUUGCAGUUAAAAAGCUCGUAGUCGAAUUUCGGGAUUAGUGCGCUGGUCAUGCCUUUGGUAUGUACUGGUGUUACUGAUUUCUACCUUCUGAAGAACCGUUAUGUCAUUUAUUUGGUGUGGCGGGGAAUCAGGACUGUUACUUUGAAAAAAUUAGAGUGUUUAAAGCAGGCUCGCGCUUGAAUACAUUAGCAUGGAAUAAUGAAAUAGGACGUUUGACCCUAUUUUGUUGGUUUCUAGGAUCGACGUAAUGAUUAAUAGGGAUAGUUGGGGGCAUUAGUAUUCAAUUGUCAGAGGUGAAAUUCUUGGAUUUAUUGAAGACUAACUACUGCGAAAGCAUUUGCCAAGGAUGUUUUCAUUAAUCAAGAACGAAAGUUAGGGGAUCGAAGACGAUCAGAUACCGUCGUAGUCUUAACCAUAAACUAUGCCGACUAGGGAUCGGAUGAUGUUAUUUUAAUGACUCAUUCGGCGCCUUACGG
rnacentral:rRNA from 1 species